rnacentral:rRNA from 1 species
GGGCCCGCACAAGCGGUGGAGCAUGUGGUUUAAUUCGAUGAUACGCGAGGAACCUUACCAGGGCUUAAAUGUAAGAUGCAUUAGCUAGAGAUAGCUAUUUCUUCGGACUUCUUACAAGGUGCUGCAUGGUUGUCGUCAGCUCGUGCCGUGAGGUGUCAGGUUAAGUCCUAUAACGAGCGCAACCCUUGUCGUUAGUUGCCAGCAUGUAAUGGUGGGAACUCAUGGGAUACUGCCGGGGUCAACUCGGAGGAAGGUGGGGAUGACGUCAAAUCAUCAUGCCCCUUAUGUCUUGGGCUUCACGCAUGCUACAAUGGCCGGUACAGAGGGCUGCAAUACCGCAAGGUGGAGCGAAUCCCAAAAAGCCGGUCUCAGUUCGGAUUGAGGUCUGCAACUCGACCUCAUG